rnacentral:lncRNA from 1 species
CACUGAAAUGUCCCAUUUGUGUCAGCAGAUCAUAUGGGUAUUCCUGGCCUGGGGCUCAUCAUCUGAGAGGCAGAAGAGUGAUCUGGAGGAUUCUGGAAAGGUAAAACUCCUAAUAGCUGUGCUGAAGGGCAGACUUACCACUCUGACUAGUGAAGACAGACUUGAUAACAAGCACUGA